AGAGUUUGAUCCUGGCUCAGGAUGAACGCUAGCUACAGGCUUAACACAUGCAAGUCGAGGGGCGAGCAUGUUGGUUGCUUGCAACCAACGAUGGCGACCGGCGCACGGGUGAGUAACGCGUAUCCAACCUACCCUUGUCCAUCGGAUAACCCGUCGAAAGGCGGCCUAACACGAUAUGCGGUUCACAGCAGGCAUCUAACGUGAACGAAAUGUAAAGGAGAAGGAUGGGGAUGCGUCUGAUUAGCUUGUUGGCGGGGUAACGGCCCACCAAGGGCUACGAUCAGUAGGGGUUCUGAGAGGAAGGUCCCCCCACAUUGGAACUGAGACACGGUCCAAACUCCUACGGGAGGCA
rnacentral:rRNA from 1 species